rnacentral:lncRNA from 1 species
GGACAUUUGCGAAUUAUAUUUGGAUUCAAAGUAAAAUAAACUUAUAUACGUGUUAGUUCCUUAAAGCAACAAAUGAACUACGUAACUUUGUGACCCAUGGUGUUAUUUUGUUCCCGCAAAACGUAUAAAUAGUGGUGUCAAAUUAGUCAACGCGGUCAAAGGCGGAACAAGAAGUUUCUAGUUCGGCUACAAUCUGCAUAUUCGGACAAAUCGACAAGUAAAUACUAAGAAUUUGUAGCAACAGGCAACUAGAUGAAAUACCACAAUGACUACAAGGAAGUGAGGAAGAUAACAGAAUCGCAAUGCAAAUACGACAAUCAAAGUGGAUUUGAAUAACUAGAAAGUUGAAAAGAAGUUGAAAGCUGGUGUUGGUUUGUUAAACCUGUGACUCUUAACUGGACAAACUCAUUUCAAUGUACCAGAAUGAACCCCAAACUGAACCCGUACCUGGUCAGACAAGAAGGAACUCCCCGGCACCUGUCAAUUAUUAUCUCUGCAGUCCUAACUUCUUUGAAGAGAGAAAUGAAAUAAUGCAAGCAAUGUUUUUGACUGGAAGCUGCAGAAUGCAAGCCGUGGCCCCGGGCACCCUGUCCACUCAUAGAAGCAGUCCAUCAAAAAUGAGCUACAAGCGGCUGAUUUGAGCUUGAGCGAAGCCUCAAGAGUCACUCAAGAUAGGAAGGCGUGGCGCGAGCUUAUGAAAGCCCUUUGCACCUCUAGUGCCUUAGGACUACAACAACAGUCCUGACUUCAGAAUGUUGGUGUCUACAAGUGUUUGCCUGUCUACCCCAGUCUACCAGAAAAACCCUGUCAUGAGUAUGGGUUGUGAGUCUAUCACUUCCAGUCUACAAACUGUGUAUGCUGCGAAAAUAACUUCAUGACUAAUUUAUUUAUGUGAUGUGUAUAGCUAAAUGUAUUAUUUGUUGAAUAAA